rnacentral:rRNA from 1 species
UACGUAGGGGGCAAACGUUACUCGGAAUUACUGGGCGUAAAGGGUGUGUAGGCGGCCGAGCAAGUCAAGGAUGAAAUCCCGUGGCUCAACUGCGGAAUGGUCCUUGAAACUGCUUGGCUUGAGGAUAGUGGAGGAGAAUGGAAUUCCCGGUGGAGCGGUGAAAUGCGUUGAUAUCGGGAGGCACACCCGAGGCGUAAGCGAUUCUCUAAGCUAUUCCUGACGCUGAAACACGAAAGCUAGGGGAGCGAACGGG